rnacentral:rRNA from 1 species
UGACGCAGCGACGCCGCGUGGGGGAGGAAGGCCUCAGGGUUGUAAACCCCUGUCAGGUGGGACGAACCNCGGAUCGNGUAAUACCCGGUCCGNCUGACGGUACCACCAGAGGAAGCUCCGGCUAACUCCGUGCCAGCAGCCGCGGUAAUACGGAGGGAGCUAGCGUUGUUCGGAAUUACUGGGCGUAAAGGGCGCGUAGGCGGUCGNGUAAGUCGGGUGUGAAAUUCCGGGGCUCAACCCCGAGAACUGCAUCCGAUACUGCUCGACUUGAGAGAGGUAGGGGCGAGUG